rnacentral:rRNA from 1 species
ACUCCUACGGGAGGCAGCAGUGGGGAAUAUUGCACAAUGGGCGCAAGCCUGACUGCAGCCAUGCCGNGUGUGUGAAGAAGGCCAUUCGGGUUGGUAAAGACNCUUUCAGUCGUGAGGAAGGUAGUGUAGUUAAUAGCUGCAUUAUUUGACGUUAGCGACAGAAGAAGCACCGGCUAACUCCGUGCCAGCAGCCGCGGUAAUACGGAGGGUGCGAGCG